rnacentral:rRNA from 1 species
GACGAACGCUGGCGGCGUGCUUAACACAUGCAAGUCGAACGGAGAGGCCCUGCUUUUGGGGGGUGCUCGAGUGGAGCAGGUGUGUGAAACACGAGAAUCACCUGCUCUUGACUUUGGUAAACCUUGAGGAAACUGGGUAUAAUCGCGGAUAAGCGCCCACGCCGCGGGGUGGGUGUGGGAAAGUUUUGGCGGUUGGGGAUGGACUCGCGGCUUAUCAGCUUGUUGGUGGGGUAGUGGCUUACCAAGGCCUUGACGGGUAGCCGGCCUGAGAGGGUGACCGGCCACAUUGGGACUGAGAUACGGCCCAGACUCCUACGGGAGGCAGCAGUGGGGAAUAUUGCACAAUGGGCGGAAGCCUGAUGCAGCAACGCCGCGUGCGGGAUGACGGCCUUCGGGUUGUAAACCUCUUUCGCCUGUGACGAAGCGUGAGUGACGGUAAUGGGUAAAGAAGCACCGGCUAACUACGUG